rnacentral:rRNA from 1 species
UCAGUUCGGAUUGCAGGCUGCAACUCGCCUGCAUGAAGCUGGAAUUGCUAGUAAUCGCGGAUCAGCAAGCCGCGGUGAAUACGUUCCCGGGCCUUGUACACACCGCCCGUCACACCAUGAGAGUCGGGAACACCCGAAGUCCGUAGUCUAACCGCAGGGGGGCGCGGCCGAAGGUGGGUUCGAUAAUUGGGGUGAAGUCGUAACAAGGUACC